CCCCUCUCAGGGUAGCAUCUGGAGAGUUUCUAGUAUUCUACCAGUCUCAGCUAUAGGAGGAAGAGCCAAGAGGAGACAUACCCAUUCCAUUCCUAGAUUGGGCAAUGGCUGGCGAGUGGAAGGCCAUCUGCUACAAGU